rnacentral:rRNA from 1 species
AUACGUAGGGGGCGAGCGUUGUCCGGAAUGAUUGGGCGUAAAGGGCGCGUAGGCGGCCCGGUAAGUCUGGAGUGAAAGUCCUGUUUUUAAGAUGGGAAUUGCUUUGGAUACUGUCGGGCUUGAGUGCAGGAGAGGUAAGUGGAAUUCCCAGUGUAGCGGUGAAAUGCGUAGAGAUUGGGAGGAACACCAGUGGCGAAGGCGACUUACUGGACUGUAACUGACGCUGAGGCGCGAAAGUGUGGGGAGCAAACAGGAUUAGAUACCCUGGUAGUCCACACUGUAAACAAUGAAUGCUAGGUGUAGGGGGUAUCGACCCCUUCUGUGCCGCAGUCAACACAAUAAGCAUUCCGCCUGGGGAGUACGGCCGCAAGGUUGAAACUUAAAGGAAUUGACGGGG